GACAUUAAUAAUCAAUAAUUUUGGCUUGUCCAUCAUUAUCUAUUUACUGUGAACUGUAUUAUUACUUGACGCUUGAGGGAUGUUCCAAUGCUAUAAGGAUAGGCACUGGAAAUGUUAACCGAGUCAUAAUCAAGCUUAGGCUUGGUAUCCUAUUAUUAUUUACCAAAAGAAUUCAGAAUUAAUAUUGUAACAUAGACGUAAAAAAUCUAUAAAACAACUUUUAACAACGGAUCUCUUGGUUCUCGCAUCGAUGAAGAACGUAGCAAAGUGCGAUAACUAGUGUGAAUUGCAUAUUCAGUGAAUCAUCGAGUCUUUGAACGCAACUUGCGCUCAUUGGUAUUCCAAUGAGCACGCCUGUUUCAGUAUCAAAACAAACCCUCUAUCCAACUUUUGUUGAAUAGGAUGACUGAGAGUCUCUUGAUCUAUUCUGAUCUUGAACCUCUUGAAAUAUACAAAGGCCUGAUCUUGUUUGAAUGCCUGAACUUUUUUUUAAUAUAAAGAGAAGCUCUUGCGAUAAAACUGUGCUGGGGCCUCCCAAAUAACACAUCUUUAAAUUUGAUCUGAAAUCAGGUGGGAUUACCCGCUGAACUUAAGCAUAUCAAUAAG
rnacentral:misc_RNA from 1 species